AAGCGAAUAAGUGCACAUGGUGGAUGCCUUGGCAGUCAUAGGCGAUGAAGGACGUGGUAGCCUGCGAAAAGCUACGGGGAGCUGGCAAACAAGCUUUGAGCCGUAGAUGUCCGAAUGGGGAAACCCACCCUUUUAGGGGUAUCGCACAGUGAAUACAUAGCUGUGCGAGGCGAACCUGGAGAACUGAAACAUCUAAGUACCCAGAGGAAAAGAAAUCAACCGAGAUUCCGAGAGUAGUGGCGAGCGAAAUUGGAACAGCCUGUACGAUUUAGCAUUUGAGUUAACAAAACGGUCUUGAAAGUCCGGCCAUAGAAGGUGAUAGCCCUGUAUGUGAAAACUCGAUUGUGGAACUAGGCGUACGACAAGUAGGGCGGGGCACGAGAAACCCUGUCUGAACAUGGGGGGACCAUCCUCCAAGGCUAAAUACUCCUGACUGACCGAUAGUGAACCAGUACCGUGAGGGAAAGGCGAAAAGAACCCCGGGAGGGGAGUGAAAUAGAACCUGAAACCGGAUGCCUACAAACAGAGGGAGCCUGAAAUGGUGACCUCGUACCUUUUGUAUAAUGGGUCUGCGACUUAGUCUGGCGAGCAAGCUUAAGGCGAUAGCUGUAGGCGAAGCGAAAGCGAGUCUGAACAGGGCGUGCUAGUACGUGGCGGUAGACCCGAAACCGAAGCGAUCUACCCAUGGCCAGGAUGAAGCUCGAGUAACAUCGAGUGGAGGUCCGAACGCGUAACUGUUGAAAAAGUUUGCGAUGAGCUGUGGGUAGGGGUGAAAGGCCAAUCAAACUCCGUGAUAGCUGGUUCUCCCCGAAAUGCAUUUAGGUGCAGCGUC
rnacentral:rRNA from 1 species